rnacentral:lncRNA from 1 species
GUGCGUGGCGUGUCCGCUGGACCAGGGGACGGGGGCGCGCCGCAGGUGUAGGAGCUUUGCGCGCCUACCUGGCGGUCGUGGGUCGAGGAGGGGUCAAGAAUUGUUGUCUAGCAGCCCUCUCCCCGCUGCCCUGUCCUGGCCGAGGCAAAGGCCGCGUGCGCUCCGCGUCUGCCAGGCUUUAGGGCUGCGCGGACACUGGGUGGGUGGUGGGCCGAGGCGACCGGAAGGUCCUGGCCGCCUUUCCGGUCUCCUCAGCACCCUGGAGCGCCGCCCUCGGGUUUCGGUCUCCUGGAUCUGCGGGUCGGUCUCGGCGGGCGGAUUACUCCUCGCCCACAACCUCGAGGCCCCGGGGUCAACCGCGCCCUCCGGGCCGGCAACCCAGGGUUUAGUCAGAUUCCUCCUGACCCACCGCUUCUGGGAAAGAGGCGCCUCCCGUCAGGAGGAUGCUGAGUUCCUCAUGACUGGACCAGUGAGUGUCCACUCCCUGGUCCCUGGCGAGAGAGGCGGGACCCCCACGCCCUCCUGGCGCUCUUUGCAGAGAUGUUCCUCAGGCCCAAUCCGGGAUUUGGGAUGUCUGUGCGUGCUGUGGAGCAGAGAGUUUGCAACAUGGUCUCACUUUGUCACCCAGGCUGGAAUGCAUUGGCAUGAACACGUCUCACUGCAGCCUCAACCUCCCAGGCUGAAGUGACCCUCCAACUCUGCUUUCACAGUAGCUGUGAUAUGGUUUGGCUGUGUCCCCACCCACAUCUCAUCUUAAAACCCAGUGGGAGGUAAUUGAAUCAUGGGGGCAAGUCUUUCCUGUGCUGUUCUUGUGAUAGUGAAUAAGUCUCAUGAGAUCUGAUGGUUUUUAAAAGAGUUCUGGCUGGGCAUGGUGGUGGGCACCUGUAAUCCAAACUACUAGGGAGGCUGAGGCAGAGUGAAUUGCUUGAACCUGGGAGAAGGAGGUUGCAGUGAGCCGAGAUUGCACCGCUGCACUCCAGCCUGGGCAAAAUUGAAGACUCUGUCUCCAAAAAAAAAAAAAAGGAGUUCCUCUGCAUAAGCUCUCUCUCUUUGCCUGCUGCCAUCCAUGUAAGAUGUGACUUGCUCUUCCUUGCCCUAUGAUUGUGAGUCUUUCCCCAGCCACGUGGAACUGUAAGUCCAAAUAAACCUCUUUCUUUUGUAAAUUGCCCAGUCUUGGGUAUGUCUAUCAGCAGCAUGGAAAUGGACUAAUACAGUAAAUUGGUACCAGUAGAGUGGGGUGUUGCUGAAAAGAUACCUGAAAAUGUGAAAGUGACUUUGGAACUGGGUAGCAGGCAAACAUUGGAACAGUUUGGAGGGCUCAGAAGAAGACAGGAAAAUGUAGGAAAGUUUGGAACUUCCUAGAGACUUGUUGAAUGGCAUUGACAAAAAUGCUAAUAGUGAUACGAACAAUAAGAUCCAGUCUGAGGUGGUCUCAGAUGGAGAUGAGGAACUUGUUGGGAACUGGAGCAAAGGUGACUCUUGUUAUGUUUUAGCAAAGAGACUGGUGACAUUUUGCCCCUGCCCGAGAGAUUUGUGGAACUUUGAACUUGAGGGAGAUGAUUUAGGGUAUCUGGUGGAAGACAUUUCUUUUUUUUUUUUUGUGACGGAGUCUUGCAUUGUCGCCUGGGGUGGAGUGCAAUGGUCUGAUCUCAGCUUACUGGGUUCAAGCAAUUCUGUCUCAGCCUCCCGAGUAGCUGGGAUUACAGGCGUCCGCCACCACGCCCUUCUAAUUUUUUGUAUUUUUAGUAGAGACGGUUUCACUAUGUUGGCCAGUGGAAGACAUUUCUAAGCAGCAAAGCAUUCAAGAGGUGGCUUGGGUGUUGUUAAAGGCAUUCUGUUUUGACUGGGUGCGGUGGUGCACACCUAUAAUCCCAGCACUUUGGGAGGCCGAGGAGGGUGGAUCAAGAGGUCAGGAGUUCAAGACCAGCCUGGCCAAUAUGGUGAAACCCUGUCUCUACUGGAAAUACAAAAAUUAGCUUGGCAUGGUGGUGUGCGCCUGUAGUCCCAGCUUCUCGGGAGGCUGAGGCAGGAGAAUCGCCUGGACCCGGGAGGUGGAGGUUCCAUUGAGCCAAGAUCAUGCCACUGACUCCAGCCUGGGCAACAGACUGAGACUCUGUCUCAAAAAAAAAGAAAAAAAAAAAGGCAUUCAGUUUUAUAAGGGAAGCAGAGCAUAAAAGUUUGGGAAAUUUGCAGCCUGACAAUGUGAUAGUAAAGAAAAUCCCAUUUUCUGAGAGGAAAUUCAAGCUGGCUGCAAAAAUUUGCAUAAGUACCAAGGAGCCGAAUGUUAAUAUCCAAGACAAUGGGGAAAAUAUCUCCCAGACAUGUCAGAGGUCUUCAUGGCAGCCCCUCCCAUCAACAGGUCCAGAGGCCUAGGAGGAAAAAGUGGUUUUGUGGGCAGCACCCAGGGUCCCCAUGCUAUGUGCAGCCUAGGGACUUGGUGCCGUGCGUCUCAGCUCCUCCAGUGGUGACUGAAAGGGGCCAACAUAGAGCUCGGGCUGCUGCUUCAUGGGGUGGAAGUCCCAAAUCUUGGCAGCUUCCAUGUGGUGUUGAGCCUGCGAGUACAUAGAAGUCAAGAAUUGGGGUUUGGGAACCUCCAUCUAGAUUUCAGAAGAUAUAUGGAAAUUCCUGGAUGCCCAGGCAGAAGUUUGCUGUAGGGGUGGGGCCUUCAUGGAGAACCUCUGCUAGAGCAGUGCAGAAGGGAAAUGUGGGGUCGGAGCCCCCACACAGAGUCCCCGCUGCGGCCCUGCCUGAUGGAGCUGUGAGAAGUGGACCACCGUUCUCCAGACCCCAGAAUGGUAGAUCCACCGACAGCUUGCACCGUGUGCCUGGAAAAGCUGCAGACACUCAAUGCCAGCCUAUGAAAGCAGCCUGGAGGGAGGCUUUACCCUGCAAAGCCACAGAAGUGGAGCUGCCCAAGACCAUGGGAAUCCACCUCUUGCAUCAGUGUGACCUGGAUGUGAGACAUGGAGUCAAAGGAUAUCAUUUUGAAGCUUUAAGAUUUGACUGCCCUGCUGGAUUUCAGACUUGCAUGGGUCCUGUAGCCCCUUUGUUUUGGCCAAUUUCUCCCAUUUGGAAUGGCUAUAUUUACCCAAUGCUUAUACCACCAUUCUAUCUAGGAAGUAAAUAACUUGCUUUUGAUUUUACAGGCUCAUAGGCAGAAGGGAUUUGCCUUGUCUCAGAUGAGACUUUGGACUGCGGACUUUUGAGUUAAUGCUGAAAUGAGUUAAGACUUCGGAGGACUAUUGGGAAGGCAUGAUUGGUUUUGAAAUGUGAGGACAUGAGAUUUGGGAGGGGCCAGGGGUGGAAGGAUACGGUUGGGUUCUGUGUCCCCACCCAAGUCUUAUCUUGUAGCUCCCAUAACCCAUGUGUCUUGGGAGGGACCUGGUAAUUCAAUCAUGUUGAGAUUACAGGCGUAAGCCACUGCACCCGGCAAUAAACCUCUUUCUUUUGUAAAUUGCCCAGGUAUGUCUUUAUCAGCAGCAUGAAAAUGGACUCAUACAAUGAUCCAUUACCUAGGGUAAAAUUCUCCUGAAUGUCAAACAGAGAUAAACUACAUUUGGGUUUUGGGUAAGUCCCCUGUAAUGAUGAAUCAAGAAUCCUCAAGUCUGUCUUGCCACCCAUUUAAUACGUAUUUUUGUUAAGGCUGAAGUUUAGAGUUAGAAUCAGGACAUUUUGGCCUAUUGAGAGGUUCUGAAUUCCAACAGAAGAUGCCAUGUAAAUCAGUGAAUUUGAUUCUUUUAAAAGCAACUUACAAAAUUUACAAGAUGUAUUCAAUAAAGCAGUUUAGCUUUGGUAUAUCAAACCUUAUAAUGAACCAUUUUUCCCACUUCAUCUUAUGCAAUGUUUAAUAUUUUCUAUUUUUGUCAAGGAUAUUAAACCUACACCUGGAAACAUAUUAAAUGCCAACUUAAAAUGUGAGAAGUUUGGCAGAACUCAGACCCAUUCUUCCAAUUUCCAAGCUGUUUAAUCACACUGAUUCAGACACUCUGGAUAGCAGCUGGGAUUGUAGUUAUCUUUAUGCUUUGAGCUCUCUAGUUUUGUCUACACAUCUUAUAAAAUAUCCCCUCCUCAUUCUCCUCUAGCUGGAACACUAACCCAAUGGAUGUUGUGGUGAACUUUCUUUGACCAGGCAGAGAAGUGCAGCAUUGGGUGGACCAUGCACAACCAGUUUGAGAAGCACUGCUCUAGGGGUUGGGGGAGCAACAAUAGAAAGAGUGUAGGUUCUGAAUACCUGAAGCAUACAUUUUAGCUCUAGACUGCUUAUAUUGUUGUUACAUGAAAGAGAACUUUUAAUCUGGUUUAAACCACUGGAUCUCUUUAUUCCAGCAAGUGAAUCUAUAUCCAACUAAUAUUUACUCCCAGUCUGUUCUUUCUCACCCCUCUUUCCCUUACUAUAAACCUUUUCUAUAUCAAUUUAUAUCAUUAGUUGCUCAGCCCACAAACCAGAUGUCACUUUUGUUUUCUCUUUUCCUUCCCAUUCAUAGCCAGGCCAUCGUUGUGACUUAUUGGCUGUACCUCCAAAAUAUAUCCCAGAUCUGAUCUCUUCUUAUAAUUUGUACUGCUACAACCUUAGUCAAAGCCACUAAUAUCUCUUAUCUGAACUCCAGUGGUUUACUAGUUUUCUGCCUCUCUUCUUGACACAAUUCAUCUUUCUACAUAGCAGCCAGAGUAAGAUAAAAUCAUAAAUCAGAUCAUAUAACUUCUACCCCCUGUACCAAUGGCUAUCUUUUAUACUCAGAAUAAAAUCCAAAACCUUUAUUUGGCUUCCAAGAUCCUACAAGAUAGAGACCUUACUUCUCAUCUUGUACCCAUCAUUUGAUCUUCAGUCCCUUGAAAAUGCCAAGUCUAUUUCCAUUUCAGGGCCUUUGUGCUUGUUACUAUUGUUUCUUUUCUCUUGGAAAACUGCCCAGAUCUUUCCUUAGCUGAAUUAUUCAGAUCCCAACUCAAAUAUCAUCUCUUUAGAAAAUUCUUUCAGAACCAGGUGUGGUGGUGCACACCUGUAAUCUCAGCUACUCGAGUGGCUGAGGCUGAUGGAUUUCUUGAGCCCAGAAGUCUGAGGCCAGCCUGGGCAAUAUAGCAAGAUCCUGUCAAAAAGAAAAAGGUAUCUCACCAUGAUUAUAUUUUAAUUUCCCUUCAGCAAUUAGAAGUCCCUGAAAUUAAUUUACCUUAUUUGUUGGCAACCUCUGCCUCCUGGGUUCAAGCGAUUCUCCUGCCUCAGCCUCCUGAGUAGCUGGGAUUACAGGCGUGCACCACCACGCCUGGCUAAAUUUUGUAUUUUUAGUAGAGAUGGGGUUUUGCCGUGUUGGUCAGGCUGGUCUCGAACUCCUGACCUCUGAUCUGCCCACCUCGGCCUUCCAGAGUGCUGGGAUUACAGGCAUGAGCCACCAUGGGCCCACAAAGCUAUUUUACUUAGCAUUUUUUUUCCCGAGGCUAAAUUGGGAACUACUGACAAUACUAUUGACAAUACUAAAUAUAUUUUUAAAUUAUUUUACUUAUUUUUGAGACAGGGUCUCACUGUGUCACCCACGCUGUAGUGCAGUGAACCAUCACCACUCACUGCAGUCUCACCCUUCCUGAACUCAGGUGAUCCUCCCACCUCAGCCUCCUGAGUAGCUGGGACUACAGGCAUGCACCACCAUGCCUGGCUAAUUUUUAAAAUUUUUUGUAGAGAUGGAGUUUCGCCAUGUUGCCCAGGCUGGUCUCAAACUUCUGGGUUCAAGUGAUGCAAGUGUCUCAGCCUCCUAAAGUGCUAGGAUUACAGGCGUAAGCCACUAUGCCCAGCCUUUUAUUUUAUUUUAUUUUAUUUAUUUAUUUUUUGAGACAGAGUCUUGUUCUGUUGCCCAGGCUAGAGUGCAGUGGUGCAAUCUCAGCUCACUGCAACCUCUGCCUCCCAGGUUCAAGCGAUUAUCAUGUCUCAGCCUCCCUAGUAGCUGGGAUUACAAGUGUGCACCACACGCGGCUAAUUUUUGUAUUUUUUGUAGAGGCAGAGAGGCAGGGUUUUAUUAUGUUGGCCAAGCUGGUCUUGAACUCCUGGCCUCAAGUGAUCUGCUCACCCCGGCCUCCCAAAGUGCUGAGAUUACAGGUGUGAGCCACCAUGCCCACCAACCUAUUUUUUAUUUUAAAAAAUUGACAGCAUACUAAAUGUUUGUAAUGCAAAUGAUAAAAUUGCUACAAUGAAAACAAGAAGUUGAGAAUUAGAUGAAGAGUUGAUUAAGGGAACUAUGAGUCACUGUGUUAGAGCAUGUAUAUUAUGAAAAUUAUAGCAGAAGUGAUAAAGGGUGACAAUUGUUACCUAUCUUCAAUCAAAAGCUCUUUGAAUAUCUUUCUUUUUUUUAAUUUUAUGAAUUUUUUUUACAGAGACAGGGUCUCACUAUAUUGCCCAGGUUGGUCUCGAACUCCUGGGCUCAAGGGAUCCUCUUGCCUUGGCCUCACAAAGUACCUGGAUUACAGGCAUGAGCCACAGUGCCUGGCCCUCUUUGAAUAUCUUUAAUGCUUUUAGAGAUUAGCAUCAGAGAAUUAUUAAUACUAGAGGGCACAAGGAAUUAGCCAUUGCCAGUGGACACCUACAUAGGUGUGACUAUGUGACUCAGUUUUAAAAAUGUGACACAAUGAAAAAAUUCCUUGGAUGUUAUGGAGGACGAAAAUUUUGUAAGUCCUAUCCAUUCUUUAAUGGAGAAACUAAAAUUUACAAUAUUACUUUAUUUAGCCCAAGAUUUUCUUAAGCUUUGUAUUUUCUAAUUCAGCUUUGGCUUACAGAAUCAUGCUUGAAGUUUGAGACUGCCAGCUUUCAACAGGCAGUUACUAGUGAAACUCUUUGGAAAGAUGAGAAGAUGUUGACAUAAGUGUAAUGUGAGACAAAGCAAAGUAAAAUGUAAUUUUUAAGAAAAUGUUGCCGGGUGUGAUGGUGGCUCAUGUUGCUGUUGGUUGCUAUGGGAGUGAACGAAGGGGGACGAAUGCAGAAAUGAAGACAAAGACAAAAAGAGUAUUUUUGGAAGAAGGGGUCAGGGGACUCCUUGCUUCUAGUGGGCAAGGGCCCUGAGCUUCUACAGCCCUUCAUAUUUAUUAGGUAGAAAGAGCAGGGAGGGAGAGGUAACAGUUGGUCAGCUGCUUGAUUUAUCACAGGUACACAUAAUUGCUUCCUUUGUACAACAGGCUUCAGAUGUUACUAUAGAUAAUCACAAGGAACACUGCGCUUGGGGCAUGACUGCCCUCAGCAACCCUUCUGGCGGCAGACACAGUUGUUAGUUUUCCAACAUCCUGCUUUCAUGAGAACAGUUUUCUGUUUGCUCAUAUAGCCUUCAGUGGUAUACUGAGUUGGUCACGACCUUCAUUCUUUCGGCCUGUAACAUCUCCCCAUUUUUGUUUUUGCAUUAAUUGAAUAAAGGUAAUUGCAGGUUGUGCAGCUCUCAAUUGCCGUUUGGUGGUCCAGCUGAUUUUGCAGACUGUUAACAAAAAACAAAAAUAUAAUAACAUUAAUCCCAUAGUUACAAAAAAGACAUUGAGAUGCUAUUUGAAGUAGGUCCCAGGGUUAAGGCUGUCUAAACCUUGCUGGAAUUCUGCCCAAGCUUUUAAAGAGGGCUGAAACGCUUGAGUCUGCUUAUUCAAGUUAAGGAUUUUACUUUGUAAAUCAUUAAUAUCAAAAGUAACAUUGAAUGUGAAAGCUCCCUGUAAAUGGGCUUUUACAAGGCUCAAUGGAUAUUCACUUUGGUUAUAUACCAAAUUGGUCACACAAAUAUGAGUAUGAUUAAAAUGACAACGCAUUGCUGCUGCAACUGCAAACUUUGUACUUGUUCCCCUAGCCAUAGAACAGUAGUCUUUAACAUUGCCACCUCUGUUUGUAUUUCGGUGUUAAUUUUAUUUUGAAGCAUCCAUGCCUGGUCGACUGUGCAUGUCCAGUUUUCCACAUAUUGAGCUGUUUGAAUGGAGCUGUGCGUUGCUGCUGAGGACAACACAACAGAGGUUAUUAAUGUAACUAAGGAGACUAUAACAAAAAUUAUCAUGCCUAAGGCUCUAUGAGCACGAUGAGUAAGCGGAGUAAAAAGGAGUUUCAUAAGAUGUAAAGCGGGGGUGGCUGCCCAAGGCUAAGAUAAAUUUACAGGAAUUCAUAAUCCAGGAACAUGACCUAGAAUUGUUAGGGUGGAUAUGUCAUGUGUUUGUAUUGUGCUAUGAUUAAGGCAAUGAUACAGUUGACAGGAAUCACAAGUCAAUUGGGCAUCAUCUACCUGGAGGUGGGUUUUUUUUGCUGCUAAGAAAAUAUAAGGAUUAAAAACAAAUUGUAAAUUGAGUGGUAAUAUUUUCUACAAGGGUAACAUUAAAACUGUGUUUAGCACAAUUACUAUUAUUGGAUAGUGUCCCAAUCCAAAUGCUGCCAUUCAUAAAUGGGAGUGCUGCUUUCCAUAUUGACUCCUGAAUUGGACCUCUCUUUCCUUGAUAAUGCCAUUGAGGCAAAGGUGAGCUAAAGCAUGUGCUGUGUCAAGCAAUUUGGGCAGCAGAUUGAGAUUGAAUUGCAAUGUGAUGUAGUGGGAGAUGUUAAAGUUUUGCCACCAGUUCCAGCAAAGUUAAUGCCAUGAGGUCUGAUGCUCAUGUCUCCCAACCAAAUGACCAUGGGGACCCCAGUAAAUAAUGUCUCCCAUUAGCAUGGACUGUUGUCUAGCUAGGGAGCUAAGACACGGGGUCCAAGGAGGGGGGUUAGAAUUAUCAAAGGGAGCCCAUUCUAUAUAAUUAAUACAAUUUGGGUGAUGGGGCCGGGAGUGAUUAGUAACUACACCAGUAAUAUUAGUAGAACUAAGGCCCAAUAGGUACGUAAAUUUUCCAUGGUAACUCAACCAUGCCUGGGAUUGAAUUGCAAGGCAACUGCAGUUGAGCAGUGUAUCCUGGGUGAUGCAUAAAGAAAGGCCCUCCAAUGGAGUGGUAUAAUUGAUACCAUUGUUCUGAGAGUCUAAUUGCUCUGUGUCAGGGGGAGUUAAGGGUCCCGGUGCCCAUGCUCCUUGAUCAUGAUAUAUCUCAGGAGGAGUGUCACCCCGGUCAUACUACCGGGGGGUUAGGAACAUAAGCCCAAUAUGUUUUUGCCUCUGCACAGGGAAAACAUAGCACACAGGAUAUCAUAGCUAGCAUGGCCAUAAACAUGGAGUCAGGGGUUUUUGCCUGACCCUGAUGCUCCAGCAGUUUCUCAUCUUCUUGUGUGGUUUUCUUGAUCUGUAAAACACAAGCAUACCCUCAUCCCCAUGUCAGUAAAUCUACCAGGCCUUUCCAUUGUCCUUCUUCCAGGGAUUUCCAUAAUACUUUUGGGUAAACUUUCCUUUUUCCCUCUAACAUUUGCCAGUGUCAUUCUACCGGAGUCUUAUUAUCUGUACCAGGAGUUAAAAAAUUUAAAGUAAAUAAUGCUAAAUGUAGUAUUGUUUGAGGUGGUAACUGGUCUCCUAUACCUCCUUUUUGUUUUUUCAGCGCAUGUUGUAAUGUUUGAUGUGCCUGCUCUAUAAUUCCUUGUCCUCGAGGGUUAUAAGGAAUUCUUGUUUUGUGAGUGACUGCCUAUAACUGUAAACAAUUUUGAAAAGCAUGACUAACUUAAGCAGGUCCAUUGUCAGUUUUUAAUUGUUUAGGGACCCUCAUAUCGGCAAAUGACAACAGACAAUGUCAUUGGACAUGGCCAGCUGUUUCACCUGUUUGACAUGUAGCAUGCAGCAUAUGAGAAUAAGUGUCUAUAGUCAUAUGAACAUAGCUAAGUUUGUCAAAGGCUGCUAUAUGUGUAACAUCAAUUUGCCAGAUUUCAUUUGGAGCUAAGCCUCGUGGGUUACAUCCUUCUACCGGUAUAACACCAGGGACAUGCUGACAAGUGGGGCAGGCUUGCACAAUAGCUCGAGCCUGGCUUCGAGGCAGAUGAAACAUACAAGUAAGGGCAGAGGUGUUUUGAUGCAGUAAUGCAUGAGAGGCUUCAGCUUGCUGAAACACAGAACCAAUCAAUUUAUCUGCUCUAUCAUUACCUAGAGGUAGUGGUCCAGGAAGUUGUGUGUCAGAGCGAAUAUGAGAAAUUUGAAAAGGAGCAGCAUGAGAGCAAACAGCUCGCUGAAGUCUUAGAAACAAGUUAAACAGCUCUGGUUCUAGGGUGCUUUUAAUAGUAGCAGUCUCAAUGCGACUGGCUACAUUUACAACAUAGGCUAAAUCACAGACAAUAUUAAUAGGAGAGGAAGCAGUGAGCUGUAAAACCUGAAUAACUGCCAUUAAUUCUGAGCAUUGAGCUGAAACACCAGGGAUUUUUAUUGUUUUAAUAUGCUUAGGUCCAUAAAUAGAUGCUCAGACUUUGGAAGAGCCGUCAGUGAAAUAAGUCUGGCCACCUGGAAUAGGCUUGUGAUGAGUAAUCACAGGGAGGAUAAAAGGGUAAACUUUAUAAAAUUGCAAAACUUUGUCUGAUGGAUAAUGAUUAUCUAUUAUUCCUUUGCUUCAGCCAACAUCGUAGAGCGAUGAAGCUCAGUUCCCACAUCCUGACAAGCUUUGAUAAAAUUUCCUAAGCUUUUUAUACAUCUCACAGAUGCCAAUGCAUGUUUACAGUCCGUGUUUGCAUUCUCAAAAGCUAGUUAAGGUUAGCAUUUCUGUAGCCAUGGUAAGAGAAAUCUGACACUUCACUGCCUAUGGUAAUCUUGCAAGAAAAUGUGCAUAGAGCUCCUGUGACCCUUUCAUGAUAUGUAAGAGAUUGUACUGGGACCCUUUCCUCUGGAAUUGUGGCCCAGGUGCGUUUAACAGCCAAGGCACACUGCUUACAAGCAGCGUCUGGGAGUGCUAUUUGAUGUUCUAGGUCUGAAUAGGGGCCACUGCCUAACAGCAUCCUCUGUAAUGUCUCUGUGUCCAGCAGCACGAUUCUAUCUAGCCUGGUCUGCACACAGUUCUUGCCAAUUUAAAUACCAUAUCAGGUAUGCACUAGCAGACAAACAAGUGCAAGCCAAAUGCUUUACAUCAAAGGGUGGAAGGCGCAUAGCGCCAAAUAGAUUCUAGCAGUCCUAAAGUAAAUGGGCUUUGUAUUCCAUUAUUAACUACACUAGCUUUUAAUUCCUUCAGCAACUUAAAUUCUAGUGGGGUGUGUUCAUGAAUAAACUGCUGUGGAUUAUGUGGAUCAGGCCUUACGGAAAUAGGAAAAGCUCAAGGUCCUAAGGGUUCUCCAGCCAUAGCAGUAGAGUGUAAAGUUCUUUGUAUUGGGGUCUCUAUUUCUGCUACUGAAGGAGGCGGUUCAGAUGUUUCUGCUACUAGAGGGGGUGACACAGGCCAAUUUUCAUCCUCCUGCUCCUGUUUAUUAUUUUUAAUUGGCGCUGUUGAGAGAACAGAAAGAUUCUUUCAAAUUUUUUGACUCUGAACAUGACUCCUGCUGUCUAGCAGAAUAAGAAAUGAAUAAUGGCAGGAUGAACUAAACUCCAAAUAUAAAAAAGAAAAUAGCCAAAUUCUUCCCCCAUGUUACCCUGAUUCAGAAACUUCCCGUUCCCAGUACCUCUUUAGGGCACUGACCUUAUAUUAGCUGUCAGCAGACUCGUCGCAGGGUUUCUCAUUCUCGUUCUUCUUGUCAGUGUCAGUUUCUCUGCUCCAGCAGACCUUCACUCACGUCCCUGUCCUAGGUGCCAGUUGUCGCUGUUGGUUGUUAUGGGAGUGAACGAAGGGGGAUGAAUGCAGAAACGAAGACAAAGACAAAAAGUAUUUUUGGAAGAAGGGGUCAGGGGGCUCCUUCUAGUGAGCAAGGGCCCUGAGCUUCUACAGCCCUUCGUAUUUAUUAGGUAGAAAGAGCAGGGAGGGAGAGGUAGCAGUUGGUCAGUUGCUUGAUUUAUCACAGGUAUACAUAAUUGCUUUCUUUGUACAACAGGCUUCAGAUGUUCCUAUAGAUAAUCACAAGGAACACUGUGCUUGGGGUGUGACUGCCCUCAGCAACCCUUCUGGCAGCAGACACAGUUGUUAGUUUUCCAACAUCCUGCUUUCAUGAGAACAGUUUUCUAUUUGCUCAUAUAGCCUCCAGUGGUAUACUGAGUUGGUCACGACCCUCAUUCUUUCGGCCUGUAACAGGCUCAUGCCUGUAAUGCCAGCACUUUUGGAGGCCGAGGCAAGAGGAUAGCUUGAGCUCAGGAGUUGGAGACCAGCCUGGGCAACACGGUGAAACCCCAUCUCUGCAAAAAUUAGCCUGGUGUGGUGGGGUGCGCCUGUAGUCUCAGCUGCUUGUGGGGCUGAGGCGGGAGAAUAGCUUGAGCUCCAGGGGUCGAGGCUGCAGUGAGCCAUAAUGGUGCUGCUGCAUUCCAGCCUGGGUGACAAAGUGAGACUAUCUCAAAAAAAAAAACGGCUGUUAGAUAAAAAUGAAGACAAACAACAUUUGCAAGGAUAUAAAUCUUAACCCAUUUAUUGGGGGUAUAGGCUCUGGUGUCAGAUUUCCAUCUGUCCUGUAUUUUGUAACCACAAAAUUGUCCUGGCUGGAUUAAUUGUAAGGAAGUCCCUUUAAACACAUCUAGACUUCCAAAGUUUGUUUACAUACUAAUUAGUUGUCAUGAAAAGCUGCAUUCAACCCAGGGUCUGAGAUGCCUUUUGUAUAUGAAAAGUGCUUCUCUUUCUGACACUGACUGAAUUACAUACAUAACAGAUUCAUUUAUUUAAAAACAAUUUAAGAGGCUUUUUCUAUAAUGCUGAACCUGCUGUGUGGUAUUUAUGUUUAAUUCUGGUCAAAUUUUCAAAACUAAUAAACACUGCAAUUCAAAACCAUUAAUUAUCAAGCAUAGACCAAGUAUCUGAGGUUAUGAGCACAUAUUUAAGAGGUUAGACUCUGGCAUUCCAGACAUUGCAAAUAAUACUUUUCUCAUUUCUAAAUUUCCUAGAAACAAGUGGAGAUUUGUAAAAGGAAAUAAUACUCUUUAAAACAUUUAUUUUUGACUCAGGAUCUGGCUCUGUUGCCCUAGCUAGAGUGCAGUGGUGCCAUCAUCACAGCUCACACAAUAGCCUGGAACUACUGGGCUCAAACCAUCCUCCCACCUCAGCCUCCCAAGUAGCUGGGACUGCAGAUGCAGGCCAUCAUGUCCCGCUAAGUUUUAUUUUAUUUUUGUAGAGACAGAGUCUAUGUUGCUCAGGCUGGUCCUGAACUCCCGGCAUCAAGUGAUCCUCCCACCUCCCAAUAAAACAUGUACUGAUGGCCAGGCACUUGGCUCACGCCUGUAAUCCCAGCACUUUGGGAGGCCGAGGCGGGCAGAUCAUGAGGUCAAGAGAUCAAGACCAUUCUGGCCAACAUGGUGAAACCCUGUCUCUACUAAAAAUACAAAAAUUAGCCAGGUGUGGUGGCACGCGCCGGUAGUCUCAGCUACUCCGGAGGCCGAGGCAGGAUAAUUGCUUGAACCCCAGAGGCGGAGGUUGCAGUGAGCCGAGAUCGUGCCACUGCACUCCAGCCUGGCGACAGAGCAAGACUCUGUCUCAAAAAAAAAAAAAAAACCAAAAACCAAAAAAUCAAAACCAAAACCAUGUAUUGAUAUCAAAGUUUUUUUAUCCUGGCAGGGCACAGUGGCUCACGCCUGUAAUCCCAGCACUUUGGGAGGCUGAGGCAGGUGGAUCACGAGGUCAGGAGUUCAAGACCAGCCUGGCCAAGAUGGUGAAGACCCGUCUCUACUAAAAAUACAAAAAUUAGCCAGGCGCAGUGGCAGGCGCCUGUAAUCCCAGCUACUCGGGAGGCUGAGGCAGGAGAAUCGUUUGAAACCAGGAGGGUAGAGGUUGCAGUGAGCCAAGAUUGUGCCACUGUACUCCAGCCUGGGUGACAGAGUGAUACUAUGUCUCAAAAAAAAAAAAAAAAAAAAAAGAAAAAGAAAAAAGAAAGAAAGUUGCUUUAUCUUUAAAACUAUAUAUAUUGUUUUCACCCCUACAUAGUCCUUGCCUCCCAGACAUCUCCUCACUAACGUCAGUAGACAAUUUGGCAUCUGAUGGUUUGAAAUAGUUUCUGUAAUCAAAUCCUGAAUAAAAUCCAUUUUAAAGC